rnacentral:lncRNA from 1 species
UUUUUGAAAGGUUAAUAGAUUUCAUAGAGGCAAAAAAAGAAAAAUUCUGUAUGAAAGAUUCUGCAACGUAAACAUUCCUUACUGCUACUGUGAGUGCAGAAGAACAGACAAGAACAAAACUGAGCAUAAAGAUAGAGUUCCAUAGAUGACAUUUUGUUUACUGUGGUCUGUAAUCUCUGGUACUUAAUACCAUACUCACAACCACCUCUGUGAUCAGUUACUGUAUGCACCAGUGCAGAUCUCAAUGUUCCCUGGUCUUUGUAACACAAACCUUUAGCUUGUGACAUAAAAUAAGAUCAGGCAAUGAUUCUCAUUCUCCCUGAAUAAAAAAGGGUAAUGAUGUUUUUUUCAAAAAUAAAACUACUGAUGUAAGUGAUGACACAAGUAACCUAAUCACUUGUUUCCUUCCAGUUAAUUUAACCAAAGUGGAAACUAUGAAAGAGAACACGAAGAGUAUUCAUUAUUUCCUGUUCAGCCUUUCCCCAGCCUUCUGCCUGAGAAAUUAUAAAGUAGAGUGAAGGAAUGGCUCCAUCACGCACAUGAAGGAUUUGGAUUCUGCACCAUCAGCGGAAGAGUGCUGUCAUUGUGAGACAAGGAUAAUGUUCCAAGACACACUGGCAAGGAGCAGCCAGCACAAACUCACAGGAAAGGCUGCAGGCCUGAGCAUCAGCAAUGGGGAGAUUGGGUUCGAAUCCUAAUCUUCAAGACAGAGACGCAUAGAGACACAUCGAAUGAAGGACACUUGCACAAGUCACAAGAGAAAAGCAAUGGAAGCAGGACCUGGCUGCUAGCUCAGUGCUUGCUCCUCCCUCAGUGCCCCCGCUGUCAAAAGGCUUGUUCCUACACUGUUGGCACCUUUUUGGAGAAACAGCAUGAGAGUUAGGCAGAAUGACUACAUUAUGAGCAUUUCCUUCUAAUGCAGUGGUUUCCAAUGGGGCUUUUACUGCAUAUUUCAAGUUUGAGCAGCUUAAAAAAAUGAGUGGUAUGUAAUAUUUUCUUAAUCCAACAACAACAGCAAUAAUAAUGGAUUUUCUGGGUUUGUUUUUUUUUUUCCACUUUUGUUGUUGUUUCGUUUUGACUAAUGCAGGAAGCUGGAUAAUAGAAAUCUGGGUAUUUGAGCCACUUCUGUAACAACAGCAAAAAUUGAUUUGUCCCAUCAUUAUCCCUAAAGCGCUAAGUUUUGCGAUUAUAAAUUAUUCCAUUCUCAACAGUAUUCAACUUCUAAUCGAGUCUGAAGUGGAUGAAAUUUUCAGAUUCUAAGGUUCAGAUGAGGGAUGUUAUAUGCUGCCCUGAUAAGGAGAGUAAAAAUGUGGUAAAAUGAGUGAUCUGCCUAAGGGAUUCACAUUAGGAUUGUCUACGGGUCUCUUGAAGGGCUUUCUACAAGCAGAAAAGUUUCAGCAUUAAACCUCAAUCUAGAACGUGA